rnacentral:rRNA from 1 species
GAGUUUGAUCCUGGCUCAGGACGAACGCUGGCGGCGUGCUUAACACAUGCAAGUCGAGCGAUGAAGCUUCCUUCGGGAAGUGGAUUAGCGGCGGACGGGUGAGUAACACGUGGGUAACCUGCCUCAAAGUGGGGGAUAGCCUUCCGAAAGGAAGAUUAAUACCGCAUAAUAUAAGAGAAUCGCAUGAUUUUCUUAUCAAAGAUUUAUUGCUUUGAGAUGGACCCGCGGCGCAUUAGCUAGUUGGUAAGGUAACGGCUUACCAAGGCAACGAUGCGUAGCCGACCUGAGAGGGUGAUCGGCCACAUUGGAACUGAGACACGGUCCAGACUCCUACGGGAGGCAGCAGUGGGGAAUAUUGCGCAAUGGGGGAAACCCUGACGCAGCAACGCCGCGUGGGUGAUGAAGGUCUUCGGAUUGUAAAGCCCUGUUUUCUAGGACGAUAAUGACGGUACUAGAGGAGGAAGCCACGGCUAACUACGUGCCAGCAGCCGCGGUAAUACGUAGGUGGCGAGCGUUGUCCGGAUUUACUGGGCGUAAAGGGUGCGUAGGCGGAUGUUUAAGUGGGAUGUGAAAUCCCCGGGCUUAACCUGGGGGCUGCAUUCCAAACUGGAUAUCUAGAGUGCAGGAGAGGAAAGCGGAAUUCCUAGUGUAGCGGUGAAAUGCGUAGAGAUUAGGAAGAACACCAGUGGCGAAGGCGGCUUUCUGGACUGUAACUGACGCUGAGGCACGAAAGCGUGGGUAGCAAACAGGAUUAGAUACCCUGGUAGUCCACGCCGUAAACGAUGGAUACUAGGUGUAGGGGGUAUCAACUCCCCCUGUGCCGCAGUUAACACAAUAAGUAUCCCGCCUGGGGAGUACGGUCGCAAGAUUAAAACUCAAAGGAAUUGACGGGGGCCCGCACAAGCAGCGGAGCAUGUGGUUUAAUUCGAAGCAACGCGAAGAACCUUACCUGGACUUGACAUCCCUUGCAUAGCCUAGAGAUAGGUGAAGCCCUUCGGGGCAAGGAGACAGGUGGUGCAUGGUUGUCGUCAGCUCGUGUCGUGAGAUGUUAGGUUAAGUCCUGCAACGAGCGCAACCCUUGUUAUUAGUUGCUACCAUUAAGUUGAGCACUCUAAUGAGACUGCCUGGGUAACCAGGAGGAAGGUGGGGAUGACGUCAAAUCAUCAUGCCCCUUAUGUCCAGGGCUACACACGUGCUACAAUGGUAGGUACAAUAAGACGCAAGACCGUGAGGUGGAGCAAAACUUAUAAAACCUAUCUCAGUUCGGAUUGUAGGCUGCAACUCGCCUACAUGAAGCUGGAGUUGCUAGUAAUCGCGAAUCAGAAUGUCGCGGUGAAUACGUUCCCGGGCCUUGUACACACCGCCCGUCACACCAUGAGAGCUGGUAACACCCGAAGUCCGUGAGGUAACCGUAAGGAGCCAGCGGCCGAAGGUGGGAUUAGUGAUUGGGGUGAAGUCGUAACAAGGUAGCCGUAGGAGAACCUGCGGCUGGAUCACC